GCAGAUUUCCUGGGAUUCACCCGGGGAUUUCCCGGGAUUUGGCCCCGGAUUUCCAGGGAUUCGACCGCAAAUUUUCUAGGAUUUGACCGUGGAUUUCCCAGGAUUCACCCACGGAAUUCCCAGGAUUUGGUCCUGGAUUUCCCAGGAUUCAGCUGUGGAUUUCCCAGGAUUUGCCCCCAGAAUUCCCAGGAUUCCAAACCCUGGAAGAGGCUUCGGGAGCCCGGGAAGCUCCGGGGUUUUUUGGGAUCAGCGUUUCCAGCCCCGUUCCCAUGGAUUGGGAUUCCUGACCUGGGAGGCUCCUGGAUUUUCCUGGAAAGAGAUUCCCGAUCCCAAAAAAUUCCCGAUUUUCCCUGGAUCAGGAUUCCCAUUCCCAGAAAAUCCAGGAGAAACCAACGCAGCUCCCGGAAAAUCCCGGGAAAUCCUCUGGAAGCGCCAAAAGUUCCGAUCCCAGGAGGGAUUUUUUCCACAAUUUUUCCAGGAUUUUUCCAGGAUUUCUCCACGAUUUUCCCAUCAUUUUUCCCAUUUUUUUUUUCCAUGAUUUUUCCAUUAUUUUUCCAAGAUUUUCCCAAGAUUUUCCCAUGAUUUUUCCCGAAAUUUUUCCCAAGGUUUUUCCAUUAUUUUCCCAAAAUUUUCCCAUUCUUUCCCCAGGAUUUUUUUCCAUGAUUUUUCCUGAGAUUUUUCCCAAGAUUUUUCCAUUGUUUUCCCAUGAUUUUUCCAUGAUUUAUCUCAAUAUUUUCCCAUUAUUUUUUCCAUGACUUUUCCAUGAUUUUUCCCGAUAUUUUUUCCAUCAUUUUCCCAAGAUUUUCCCAUUUUUUCCCAUUAUUUCCCCAUUAUUUUUCCAUGCUUUUCCCAGGAUUUUUCCCAUUAUUUUUCCAUGAUUUUUCCUCAGAUUUUCCCAUGAUUUUUCCACAAUUUCCCCCAAGAUUUUCCCAUUUUCCCAAGAUUUUUCCAUCAUUUUCCCCAUUUUUUCCCCAGGAUUUUUCCCAUGAUUUUUCUCGUGAUUUUUCCAUGAUUUUUCCAUGAUUUUUCCAAGAUUUUCCCAGGAUAUUUCCCUUUCUUUUUCCAUGAUUUUUCCCGGGAUUUUUUCCAUGUUUUUUCCACGAUUUUCCCAAGAUUUUUCCCUGAUUUUCUCCAUUUUUCCCUGAUUUUCUCCAUUCUUUUUCCAUGAUUUUUCUUGAAAUUUU
rnacentral:lncRNA from 1 species